UACGUAGGGUGCGAGCGUUAAUCGGAAUUCUGGGCGUAAAGUGUGCGCAGGCGGCUUCGCAAGUCGAGUGUGAAAAUCCCCCGAGCUUAACUUGGGAAUUUGCGCUCGAAACUACGGAGCUGGAGUGUGGCAGAGGAAGGUGGAAUUCCCGGUGUAGUGGUGAUAUGCGUAGAUAUCGGGAGGAACACCAGUGGCGAAGGCGGCUCACUGGCCCGAUACUGACGCUGGAGGUGCGGAAAAGCGUGGGGGAGCAAACAGG
rnacentral:rRNA from 1 species